rnacentral:lncRNA from 1 species
UAAGAUUAUUCUCUACCCAAGGAAAAAGGAGAGAAAAAAAACUACACAAAAAAGAUACACGAAAAUACAAAAAAAAAAAGAGCGGACGGAAAAAAUUGAAAAAGUGGCAAGUGACAUGAAAAGGACCCCCAUCCUUCACGCCACAACUCAGCCCUCUUUCACUGAAACUCGUUGGGAAAUGCACACACGCAUGGAGAGUGACUGAACAGUGAGAGUAUUGUGCGAAAAAUAGAGCAUAAGCUCCAAAAACGGUGAGAACAGAGGAGGUGAACGGACAAAAUUAUCAUUUUCUGCUGCUUUCGAAUUCAAAUCCUUUCAAUUUGUAUGUCGAAUUCUGGUUUCCUUCUAGUUUUCGAUUCGGAUUCCUAUCCGAGGUGUUAGUCGAGGCUGAAUUCUGUUAGUUCGAGUCCCUAUUGUGACUUGUCGAUGUGUUCGUGCAAAUUUUCAUUUAUGGAUUCAUGUUUACUUGCUGAUUUUCGCAUAGUGAAAGAUGGCCAUGGUUUCGUUUUGUUUGUGUAAAUUGCUCAAAGGAAACAUUUAAUUGAAGAGAGCUCACUCUUAGUCUGCUCUACUGAUGUCUUUCUGUUUCUUCCGAUUUUGCACAAAUAGCCAUUGUUCAUGUCCCUUUGUAUCUAUAUGUUAACAACUGAUUUGCUGGUUCCGUUCUGCUAGUUCCUUUAGAUUCAAUAUCAUUUCGAAACGAGUAAAAAUCAAACCAGAAAACGAGUUGGAGUUCUAAUGGCGGAAGUUCAUUGGUUGAGCUCCUUUGGGGUUGAAUACGGGCUUGUUUGAGUUUGGCGACGCCAAGUCGAGGUCCGCAGUGUGAUGUCAAUUCGCUGCUGUUGUUCGUUGAAUUUUUUGUUGAGUUCAGUCCGAUUCGGUUUUAGUCAUCGUUGAAGAGUCGAGUUGGUGUCGUUGAGGUUUCCGAUUUGACAUUGAACAUCCGUCGUGUGAGCUCGAGAUCUUGUGAAUCAAAAAGUGUGGCUGCUUGAGUUAGAUUUCUGGGCUCGAUUUGAAGUCACUGUCUGAGGUUCAAUCCGGGCAAAUUCGCGCCUGGUUCAACCGUGGUCGUUCAACGUCGAGAUCCGGUGCGUCGAGGUCGUACGACGAGGAAGAAGCUCGGUCUCCUGACCCGCUUGGCCCAAGUAAUUCUCGUUUUUCUUUUGAAUUGAAUGCUACUGUCAUUACUCUAUCUCGCUGCUGAAUUGUUCGAUCUCUUGAUAUUGUGAACGGAAACGUUUCUUUUGUGUAAAUUGCUCGAUCUCACUGUUGAAUUGAAUGUUAGUGUCACUAAUUAGCUUCUACAUCGGAUUAAAAAGUGAAAACCAUUUCCUUGCUGACCAUUUCCGCUCCCUUACGCUAGUGCACUGUUUGGCAAAUCUCUUUAUAUUUUGUGUUUGGCAAAUCUCUUGAUAUUUUGUGUUUGGCAAAUCUCUUGAUAUUGUGUUUAGUUUAAUCCUUGGAUCCUUGAACUUCACAUUAUGUUUGUAAUUUGUUAUCAAUUCUCUGCUGCUUAACUCGAUCUGUUGUUUUGAGUUAGUGUAUAAUACAUUCUCCAAUUGUUAAAAAUUUCGAUUUAAGGUUUAAUUGAUAUUUGAAAUUCGGAUUUUAAGUUAGGUAGCGGGUUCAAGCU